GCGUGAGCAUAGAAGUUGCCCUUGACGUUUGACCGAAAUUCCACUCAAUUCAGCGAAAGAUCAUACGAUUGUCCCGUUAAAGCUCGCAAACAUCAUCCGAUCUAUGAGCUUUAUGUUCUGCACAGCCUAAUUUAACUUGGAUGAGUUUCGCUUGAGUUAAUAGCAAAGAGUCGAUCGAAGAAAAGCGAAGUGAUUGUGUCAAGCGGCAUAUAUAUAUAUAUAUAUAUAUAUAUACGUAACCUACAUACAUAUAUCUUACGCAAUCCCUCGCGGUGAAAUUUUAAUGCAAAAGCCGUGUAUUCUGAGAAAUCUCUGUGGAUCGGUGCUAGUACCAAGCGUGAAUAAUAAUUAACCAAGGACAGAGGUCAGGAGCCAGUUUCAUCGUUGCAGCCUGAGUGCGUAUAAGCACAUAGACGGGGUGCUCCACGAGAGGAGUAUCACCGAAGUGAUCCUCCAACCUAAAAGGGGUACCCUUCGACCCCCCUCUACUGACGGAAACGCUGAGCACCGAAAACCUCUGACUUGGGUCAACCAUAUUGAGGCGUCGCAACCCUUAGGAAGCCCAGUGCAGAAGGGAGCGCCUCGGAACUUUAAUCAACUCCAGUGAGAAGACCAGUUUGUCGCGCACGGUAGUGCCAAUGUAAGCUGCAGCUUGACCUGCAGUCGGAUGUUCCCCGCUUAAGCCCAGUGUGAAGAAGACCAGAACACUGGGCGUGAUUUUGACGGACAUGCCUACAGAGUAGCCGCCGCCGACGCUACCGAAAGAUGUCCGGAGUUGCUCAGUGUUAACUUACACAUUUUCGGGAUUUGAGUUAAUAUGCCAUUUUAAGGCCAAUUCUCUGGGAGAUAUAUAGAUAUGUAUAUUUUUUUUUGGAGCAUCAAGAAUUAUGAGUGUUGGUAGAAAAGAGUGGAAAACAGCACCUACGUCAUCCAUGAGCUCAUCGAUUACGAAAGGAGUAAGGGUUUUAAAUUAUCAAAUCCAAUCAAAAACUGUGAGUUCGUAAACUUGACACUAUAUAUGCACUGAGUAUAAAUGUAACCUGCGUGUUACUAAAUUAUUUGAUUUAAACCUUUAUAAUCAUUACCAUAAUGGGUUAACACCUCUCGCCCCCCUUUAUUCUAUUACCCGCCUAUGAUUCUUAGUCUCUUUACAUACUACGGCCCACACAUUCAUAUAUAUAUAUAAGGUCGUACCAUCUUGAAUUCCAAAGUUGGUAUAAAUUAAAUUAAGUAAAUAUUUUAAGUGGGCUAGACUGCCAGAAAAAUGAAUUCAUCCGUAGAUUAAGAAAAUUUGGAAGAUAUUGAAUAUUAAUAAUAGGAAACCAUGAAAAUAUAUCUGAAAGUCUUUGUUUUGAAACCCAUAUAUAAUAUGUUCUAAAUUCUAAUGUCAGUCCUUAGCCAAGCAAGGUCGAAGUGGUAGGAUGAAAACUGCCUGAUUGUUUUAGGGUCUAUACGGUAUGAUUUACCUGUAUGACAUAGGCUGGGUGGGUAAAGAAG